rnacentral:rRNA from 1 species
AAAUUCUCUCCGUAGGCUGAAAAGAUGCCCAUCUCUCCUCUUGGAUCCUCCGCGACCUCUCUCUCCAUGGCCGCCACGAGGAAGCUCGGCAGGUCGCCGCCGGCGGCGGCGGCGUAGGAGAAGGAAGACGACACGGAGGGGAUCUUCUCUUGGAGCUCCUUGGCCGACCUCGGCCUGCACCACCCCACCGCCUGCGCCCGCCUCCAAGUCCAAGGAGGCUCCUCAUCUGAUCUGAGCAAGUAGCAAAAGUAGGGAAGCACACACCUUGGAUAUUAAGCAGCAGCAGUGGAUCCAAUGCUUUGAGAGAAGAGUAGCGAGGAUAAGUAGUGAGGUUGUAGUGUUGAUUUGAACUAAAUUUGUCGUUCCUGUACCUUCUGGCUUUGUUUCCAACGUCAUAAGAUUGUGACAGAGAAUGGUCCAGAUUACUAUGGCUUUGUUCCCAACGUUGAUUAGUUCUAGGCCCGGCCGAGCAUCAGACCUAUAAAAAAGGGUUUAUUAGGAGCGCUGGACUGGUUUUCAAUCAUUAUUAAGGUUCCUAAUUGAACUGUUAAAAAAUCCGAGGUAAUCGAAAAAAGGAGAUGCACUAUUCAAAGAAUGUUCUUCUUUCUUUUCCAC